rnacentral:lncRNA from 1 species
CAUUUUCUUCGAAGUUAACUACAGAAGCAUUGCUUUUACUCUCAGGUUUUAUUUUUCUUUCAUGCUUCCUGUCCAACAGAAAAUCUGUGUCACUGGUUGUAUUCAUCUCUUCUAAAGUCAACGGUGUCUUUUCUGUCACAGGUUUCAGUUCCCUCUUUGCUGCUGAAAGUUCCAAUUCUGAGCUGCCAAAACCACCACUUUCUAAACAUUCGGAGGUCUCCUCUUUGACGGUUUCAGCUUUGAUUGUCUUGCUGUUGCUGUUUACAGCACAUUCUUUCAAUCGAUCAUCUUUGUUUCUUUCCAA